rnacentral:rRNA from 1 species
AGAGUUUGAUUCCAUGGCUCAGGAUGAACGCUAGCGGGAGGCCUAACACAUGCAAGCCGAGCGGUAGAGAUUCUUCGGAAUCUUGAGAGCGGCGUACGGGUGCGGAACACGUGUGCAACCUGCCUUUAUCAGGGGGAUAGCCUUUCGAAAGGAAGAUUAAUACCCCAUAAUAUAUUAAGUGGCAUCACUUGAUAUUGAAAACUACGGUGGAUAGAGAUGGGCACGCGCAAGAUUAGAUAGUUGGUGAGGUAACGGCUCACCAAGUCUGCGAUCUUUAGGGGGCCUGAGAGGGUGAUCCCCCACACUGGUACUGAGACACGGACCAGACUCCUACGGGAGGCAGCAGUGAGGAAUAUUGGACAAUGGGUGGAAGCCUGAUCCAGCCAUCCCGCGUGAAGGACGACGGCCCUAUGGGUUGUAAACUUCUUUUGUAUAGGGAUAAACCUAGAUACGUGUAUCUAGCUGAAGGUACUAUCGAAUAGC